UACGGAGGGAGCAAGCGUUACUCGGAAUUAUUGGGCGUAAAGGGCGCGUAGGCGAUUCGAUAAGUCUCAUGUGAAAUCCCAGGGCCUAACCCUGGAAUGGCAUGGGAUACUGUUGGAUUUGAGUUCCGGAGAGGAAGGCAGAAUUCCCGGUGUAGCGGUGAAAUGCGUAGAUAUCGGGAGGAAUACCAGUGGCGAAGGCGGCCUUCUGGACGGAUACUAACGCUGAGGCGCGAAAGCCAGGGGAGCAAACGGG
rnacentral:rRNA from 1 species